ACUGACCGGAUAAGCUUGGUGUUUACAUCCGGCAUGAAUUUCGAAGAGGAAGCGGAAGUGCUAACCACGUUCAUGAGUGGACUGGCUUAAGUUGGGACGCAUGUCGAAGGGCAGUAUUAAAGCUUGUGGAUCACUAGUAUGCGCUGCAUUUGUUGCUUCAUCGCAGGCAAUAUAGAUAGAACCGGAGGACUUGAUCAUUAUAUCUGAGCUGGGCGUCGCUACUACUAUACAGUAAGAACUGUACUGGGCUAAGGAGAGAGCAGGAGCUAAUAAUAGCCAACAGUGUUGCGUAUCAGUUUUACACCGCUAAAAUGUCUAAAUCGGAUGAGUUUGGAGAAUUCAUCCGUGAUAUACUAACAAAGGGAGGUUUAAAGAUUUUUGGAGGAUUUGAAAAAACGUUUGCUGAGUACAAAGAAGAAUUCUCUCGUUCCGAGGAGGAGAGGAAGCGGCUACAACGGCUGUUGGACGUUGUUUCUCCACCCAAGAUCAAGCGACGUCGAACAGAAGUGAAGCAGCUCUCUCUCCCGGAGCCCCCACAGAUUAAAGAGGAACAGGAGCUGUGGACCAGUCAGGAGGAAGAGCAGCUCCAAGGACUGCAGUCUGAAACUACAGACUCCAUAUUCACCAGGGACUCCAACUUGCAUAUCAGAGCAUUUCUCAGUGAGAGAUUAACAACAGCAGCUUCAGAGAUUUUUGGGGCCAUUGAAAUAACAUUUGCUGAGUACCAAGAAGAAAUCUCUCGUUCUGAGGAGGAGAGGAAACGGAUACAACGGCUGUUGGACGUUGUUGCUCAACCUGAGAUCAAGCUACACCGAACAGAAGUGCAGCAGCUCUCUCUCCUUGAGCCCCCACAGAUUAAAGAGGAACAGGAGCUGUGGACCAGUCAGGAGGAAGAGCAGCUCCAAGGACUGAAGUCUGAAACUACAGACUCCAUACUCACUUCUCCCAGUGUGAAAUGUGAUUCGGAUCAAGAUGGCUCAGUUGAAUGUUCACAUCUUGACCAAGCUGUCCAAGUGGACAACAGAGAAGGAGACUCUCUACACACCAACACAACUGAGGAGCAAAUAAAAGCAGAGACUCAUGUACAAGACUCUCCAGCACCAGAACCAGGCAGUGACUCUCAGCCCCUUUCUGUUGUAGAUCAGAGUUUUUCUAUUCUAGAAACUUUAGAAUCCAAGAGAACACGGGAAAACGAGGCUGUCUCAUGGGAUAGUCUGUUUCAAGAAUGCAGUGUAGCUCCAGACUGUCCUGCAGAUGGAGGAGUGAUGCUUUUACAGAACAGAACACAAAACAAUGAGGCUCUUCCAAGGGACAAUAGACCACAGGGAAGUCACACAGGAAAAACAAUACAUCAGUGUCAACAAUGUAACAAACGAUUUGCUGACAAAGGUAAUCUUGUUAGUCACAUUAAAAGACACAAAGGAGGGAAACCUUUUCAGUGUCAACAAUGUUACAAACAAUUUGCUCAGAAAGGUACUCUUGUUGAUCACAUGAGAACACACACAGGAGAGAAACCUUUUCAGUGUCAACAAUGUAACAAACGAUUUGCUCACAAAAGUACUCUUGUUAGUCACAUGAGAACACACACAGGAGAAAAACCUUAUCAGUGUCAACAAUGUAACAAACGAUUUGCUCACAAAAUAAGUAUUGUUGGUCACAUGAAGACACACAGGAGAGAUACCAUAUUGUGAAUGAUGUAAUGUUUUAUGCCAGAAGACGGUUGAAUGACAGAUUUCCCUAGAGGCCUGAGGAAGACUGAUGUGUAGAUGACACUGAACAUAGGAGGGGGGAAACUCUUUUCACAGGUAAAUCUGUUCCCCACAUAAUGAUCACAGUAACAUACAUCACCAGUAUCACUAUUGCUUUAUAAAUGACCAGACUGUAAUGUACAGGGGGGGAAGCACUUUCCUCAGGCCUCCAGGGAAAUCAGUUCCCCCUGUGUUCUCAGUGUAAAAGACUCUUGUGCUCUGCUUUACUCUACUCCGUUUUAGGCUUUUCUUCUCCCCUCUUUCCUCUUCUCUCUCCUCUUCUUACACCGUGUGUGGGGAAAAAAAGUUUAGAAAAGUGGAAAAUAAUAUUUUUUGAAAGGUUGAAAAAGUGUUUUUGAAAAAUAAUUUAUAC